rnacentral:rRNA from 1 species
CCUACGGGUGGCAGCAGUGAGGAAUAUUGGUCAAUGGGCGCGAGCCUGAACCAGCCAAGUCACGUGAGGGAAGACGGUCCUAUGGAUUGUAAACCUCUUUUGUCGGGGAGCAAAAGACGCCACGCGUGGCGUUCCGCGAGUACCCGAAGAAAAAGCAUCGGCUAACUCCGUGCCAGCAGCCGCGGUAAUACGGAGGAUGCGAGCGUUAUCCGGAUUUAUUGGGUUUAAAGGGUGCGCAGGCGGAAGAUCAAGCCAGCGGUAAAAUUGAGAGGCUCAACCUCUUCGAGCCGUUGAAACUGGUUUUCUUGAGGGAGUGAGAAGUAUGCGGAAUGCGUGGUGUAGCGGUGAAAUGCAUAGAUAUCACGCAGAACUCCGAUUGCGAAGGCAGCAUACCGGCGCUCAACUGACGCUCAUGCACGAAAGUGUGGGUAUCGAACAGGAUUAGAUACCCGGGUAGUC